rnacentral:rRNA from 1 species
UACAGAGGUCCCAAGCGUUGUUCGGAUUCAUUGGGCGUAAAGGGUGCGUAGGUGGCGUCGUAAGUCGGGUGUGAAAUCUCGGGGCUUAACUCCGAAACUGCAUUCGAUACUGCGGUGCUUGAGGACUGGAGAGGAGACUGGAAUUUACGGUGUAGCAGUGAAAUGCGUAGAGAUCGUAAGGAAGACCAGUGGCGAAGGCGGGUCUCUGGACAGUUCCUGACACUGAGGCACGAAGGCCAGGGGAGCGAACAGG